rnacentral:rRNA from 1 species
AGAGACAGCAGUAGCCGCGGGAAUACAGAGGGUGCGAGCGUUAAUCGGAUUUACUGGGCGUAAAGCGUGCGUAGGCGGCUAAUUGAGUCGGAUGUGAAAUCCCCGAGCUUAACUUGGGAAUUGCAUUCGAUACUGGUUAGCUAGAGUGUGGGAGAGGAUGGUAGAAUUCCAGGUGUAGCGGUGAAAUGCGUAGAGAUCUGGAGGAAUACCGAUGGCGAAGGCAGCCAUCUGGCCUAACACUGACGCUGAGGUACGAAAGCAUGGGGAGCAAACAGGAUUAGAUACCCCCGUAGUCCCUGUCUCUUAUAC